GACUCCUGCAAGAUAUUGAGGCAUUUAGAAUGUAUGGUUCUGUUGCCGUGGUUGUCACCUCCGCUCUACGCCAAAUUUAAGACUCAUUUCUUAAGGAUGUCUCUAUUUUCUGCUUUAUUUGCACAUUGAUGGCUCUGCUGCUCAGCUGGCCACGGCCGCCCGGCGUCUGAGAUAGAAUUGUGUUAAUAUGAGAAAGGGAACGGCCGAUCAUGAUUAGCAGGCAGACGGCAUGCAGAUAGCAUCUGGCGGGUUUUCUCCGUUUUUAUAUGAAAGCGUUCACUUGUUUGCUGGUGUUAAGUGUGAUGCUUCCAUAAUACAUUUGGAUGCUGUCAGCUAAGUUCACUUCUGAACUAAGGGGUUCCUCCAAAUGUUGGCUGAAAUUCAUCCCAAGGCUGGUCUGCAAAGUCUGCAAUUCAUAAUGGAGCUACUGUACUGGCUAUUGGAAGGAGGAGAUUCUGAAGAUAAGGAGGUAAAACCUGUUUAGAAAUUAAAAAUGAGUUACGAUUUAAAGAAAAUUCAGAUGACUCAUUGUGAGUGCUAGUUCUCUUGUAGGAUGCCACUGGAAAUGUUGAAAUGAAAAAUAUUCAGCCGUUGGUCUUUGAAAUUUCCUGUGAUGUGUUUCAAUCUAGAUGCAAAGAACAUGGAAAAAUCAAAGUGCUCGAGUGGUUUAAAUAUGUUUUGGGUAUUCCUGUUUAUAGACUAUAAUACUUUUCCAAUUAAAAUCCUCAGUUGUCACGCAGAAGAA
ensembl:lncRNA CRNDE colorectal neoplasia differentially expressed